UGGUAAAAAUGAGUCUAGUCUCAAGUCGUUGUCGUCGUUGUUUGGUAUAAAAGCUGGUGAGGCAUGGUGAGACACAUCACAGUCUCAACUCAACUUUUGACUUCUGAGCUAAUAAAUCCAGCAGAAUUGAUAACAUGGCAAAGGCAAUCGUUCUCGUUGUUUUGGUGGUGGCCGUUUGCGCCGUGGUUGUGAUGGGUGGAGGGCAGAAGAAGGAGGCUGAUCUGGACACUGCGGCUGGACAUCAUCACUACGGAUGGGGGUGGCCGGCUUGGGGUUGGGGAGGACAGAGCUACGUCCACCGACAGGAUCAUUACGGAUGGGGAUGGCCAGCUUGGGGGUGGGGUUGGCAUUAAAUGGACGAGCGGCUGAUCCAAGGGUACAGAGAAAUAAGUUAUUCUGUAUUAUUAUUGAAAUUAAAAAUGUAAAUUGAUGAAAUCUGUAAAUUUUUCCAUAACAUAAGUUUAAAUGCAUAAAAUAUAUUCUUUAUAUAAGUAAUUCUAAACAUA